UCUCAGCUUCUACACAUUUAUAGUACUUCUCCCCGUCCCCCGACAUCCCAAGCGCCAAAAGUCCAUCCAUGGGAGGAAAGCAAAGGGCCUGGCCAUCUCAAAGUGCAGCAGGUCAGUGUUCUGCUGCUGCAGCUGUUGUUUCCAUGGUGAUGGGUAUGCACUGUGGUAUGAAAACGCCCCCAGCCUGUGCCGGCCGUGGCGUGAGCGGGCGGAUGCAUCUAGUCUGGUCAGAGGGCCGCGACAUUGCGAUCUUGUGACAUCAGCGGUACCGGCGCAGAAAUCGGGAGCAGUGACGGGAGCACAUUGGUCUAUUAAAUAAGAAAUGAAGUCUCAGGUUGAGGAUCGUCUUCAACAAAUAUAUUCAGAGGAAGAUAAAGAUCACCCUAUUAAUACUGGCUUAAUCUUGGAGUUGAAAGCAGAAUUUGCAGGAUAAAAAAAACUCUUUAGGUGGGAUUGCCACACUCUCGAGGAUAAUGAAAUAGUGGGAUAAGGGGAGACGAGCCUGGGACUAAUUUGCCUAUUAGUAAGAUCCCAAAUGGCCAAUGAGCGGGAAACUACAGGGUGGGAAGAGACAUUCCGGGAACGAUGAGUCCUGGGGAGACACAAGAGGGAGGAGAGCGUCGACAAACCCAGCUCCUCAGCCUCCAACAGCAGCCCAGACCUUCCCUGCACCAGAGGCACACCAUUGAAUGCAAUGAGAGAGUUGUACUGCAUAAUAAUAUUUCCAAAAAUUAGGGAUUUCCAGUCUGCCGCCUCAAGAACCAUUGAUCAUCUUUUUGCGUCUGUUAUUGCUGAAAAUCCAUUUUAGUCACACUGCAAUGUGACUUGGAUGCACGAGUAGACUGUGAUGAUUAAUAUGACAGGCAGAAAUAGAAGUGUGUCUUUAAGACUCAUAUUCUCAGAAAGGAUCUCAGAGUUGGUUAAGUUUUGAUUCUCAUUAAACAUGCCAAGGACCUACUGUAUUCUCCAGCUGUACACUAAUACAAAUUAUCCUUUUCAGGGACUUCUUGUUAAUCCACCUGUUUAUAAAUUUCUGGAAAUUUCAGG